UAUAGGCAAGUGUACUCCGCACCUAGAGUUUUGACCUCUAAAGAUAGGGCCUACCCCUAGCCUAUAG
rnacentral:tRNA from 1 species